rnacentral:rRNA from 1 species
GACGAACGCUGGCGGCGUGCCUAAUACAUGCAAGUCGAGCGGGCCUCCGGAGGUGCUUGCACCUCCGGACGGCCAGCGGCGGACGGGUGAGUAACACGUGGGCAACCUGCCUUUGAGGCCGGGAUAACACCGGGAAACCGGUGCUAAUACCGGAUACGUCCUCUUUCGCGCCUGCGAGAGGGGAGAAAGACGGUCUUCAAGGCCGUCGCUCAAAGAGGGGCCCGCGGCGCAUUAGCUGGUUGGUGGGGCAAGGGCCUACCAAGGCGACGAUGCGUUGCCGACCUGAGAGGGUGAUCGGCCACACUGGGACUGAGACACGGCCCAGACUCCUGCGGGAGGCAGCAGUAGGGAAUCAUCCGCAAUGGGCGAAAGCCUGACGGUGCAACGCCGCGUGAGUGAGGAAGGUUUUCGGAUCGUAAAGCUCUGUUGUGAGGGAAGAACAGCAUCCGGAGGAAAUGCCGGAGGUUUGCCGGUACCUCACCAGAAAGCCCCGGCUAACUACGUGCCAGCCGCCGCGGUAAUAC